UACAGAGGUGGCAAGCGUUGUUCGGAAUUACUGGGCGUAAAGGGCGCGUAGGCGGUCUUUUAAGUCUUGUGUGAAAUCCCUCGGCUCAACUGAGGAACUGCACGGGAUACUGGAAGACUUGAGUUCGGGAGAGGGAAGCGGAAUUCCGGGUGUAGCGGUGAAAUGCGUAGAUAUCGUAAGGAAGACCAGUGGCGAAGGCGGGUCUCUGGACAGUUCCUGACGCUGAGGCACGAAGGUCAGGGGAGCAAACGGG
rnacentral:rRNA from 1 species